rnacentral:rRNA from 13 species
UUCUCCAAAUCCAAGGAGAUAUUUGAGCGUAUUCUGAACAAGAAAACCAGCAGUAAUUCCCAUAGUAGUAGGAAGAGAAGCAGCACAAACUCCCUCUCUUUUCAAUGUCUU